rnacentral:rRNA from 1 species
AUUGAACGCUGGCGGCAUGCCUUACACAUGCAAGUCGAACGGUAACACGGGGCAACCUGGCGACGAGUGGCGAACGGGUGAGUAAUGCAUCGGAACGUGCCCGGUAGUGGGGGAUAACUGCUCGAAAGAGCAGCUAAUACCGCAUACGACCUGAGGGUGAAAGGGGGGGAUCGCAAGACCUCUCGCUAUCGGAGCGGCCGAUGUCGGAUUAGCUAGUUGGUGGGGUAAAGGCCUACCAAGGCGACGAUCCGUAGCUGGUCUGAGAGGACGACCAGCCACACUGGGACUGAGACACGGCCCAGACUCCUACGGGAGGCAGCAGUGGGGAAUUUUGGACAAUGGACGCAAGUCUGAUCCAGCCAUGCCGCGUGCGGGAAGAAGGCCUUCGGGUUGUAAACCGCUUUUGUCAGGGAAGAAAUCUUCUGAGUUAAUACCUCGGGAGGAUGACGGUACCUGAAGAAUAAGCACCGGCUAACUACGUGCCAGCCGCCGCAGUAAAAC